rnacentral:rRNA from 1 species
GACGAACGCUGGCGGCGUGCCUAAUACAUGCAAGUUGAGCGCUGGCGGGUGGUACUUGUGCCAACUGGGUGAGCGGCGGACGGGUGAGUAACGCGUGGGGAAUCUGCCUUUGCGCGGGGGCCAACUUUUGGAAACAAAUGCUAAUACCGCAUAAAAACUUUAAACACAAGGUUUAAGUUUGAAAGAUGCAAUUGCAUCACUCAAGGAUGAUCCCGCGUUGUAUGAGCGAGUGGGUGAGGGAAAGGCUCACCAAGGCGAGGAUACAUGGCCGACCUGAGAGGGUGGUCGGACACACUGGGAAUUGGACCCGGCCCACACUCCAGCGGGAGGCAGCAGUAGGGAAUCUUCGGCAAUGGUCGAAAGUCUGACCGAGCAACCACGCGAGAGUGGAGAAGGUUGUCGGAUCGUAAAGCUGUGUAGGGAGUGAAGGACGUGAGAGAGAGGGGAAAGCGCAGCUAGUUACGGUAACUGCCCAGAAAGGGACGGCUAACUUCGUG